GCCAACGUGGUGUAGUGGUUUGAGUGCUGCACUAUGGCUCUGGAGACCAGGGUUCAGUUCCCUGCUUGGCC